AUUGAACGCUGGCGGCAUGCUUUACACAUGCAAGUCGAACGGUAGAGGGGGCAACCCCUUGAGCGUGGCGAACGGGUGAGUAAUGCAUCGGAACGUGCCCAGUCGUGGGGGAUAACGCAGCGAAAGCUGUUAUAAUACCGCAUACGACCUCUGGAUGGAAGCGGGGGACCGAAAGGCCUCGCGCGAUUGGAGCGGCCGAGGUCAGAUUAGGUAGUUGGUGGGGUAAAAGCUAACAAAGCCAACGAGCUGUAACUGGUCUGAGAGAACGACCAGCCACACUGGAACUAAAACACGGCCCAGACUCCUACGGGAGGCAGCAGUGGGGAAUUUUGAACUAUGGUCGCAAGCCUGAUCCAGCAAUGCCGCGUGGAGGAAGAAGGCCUUCGGGUUGUAAACCGCUUUCGUACGGAACGAAAAGGUUUGGGUUAAUACCCUGGGCCGAUGACGGUACCGUAAGAAUAAGCACCGGCUAACUACGUGCCAGCCGCCGCGGUAA
rnacentral:rRNA from 1 species